UUUGUUGUUGUUAUUAUUAUUAUUAAAUCUAUUAAUCUUAAAAUUGAUUAUAUUUUAAUUUAUUUGUUAUUGAUUAAAGUUAAAUGUCAUGUUCUUGCAUAUAUGUGAGUGAAUAGCAAUUAAGAGGGGGUAGGGGGGGGACAAUAUUUAAACUUAUACAUGAGAAUUACUGUUGUUGUUGUUCUUUUUAUAUAUUUGCAUUUCGUUCUUAAAAUGUUGAUUAUUGCCAAAAAGUAAUUGUGGCAGCAGCAGGGGGAAGAAGUUUAUAUAAAUUUCUACAACUAUCUUUCAAUAAUCUUGUUAGAAGCUUAAAAUCUAAAGGGGGAAAAUUGCUGAUUUUUUCUGUUCUUUCCCAACAUACCAAAAAUACAAUACAGCUUGAGAACAAUAUUAUAAAAAUAUAAUUUUUCAACAAUGCUUGAGAAACACUUAUGUUCCACAAACAUUUCUCAAAUCUGUCCUUUCCCAACAUACCAAAAAUACAAUACAGCUUGAGAAUAAUAUUAUGAAAAUAGUUUAUCAUAAGAAUUUUUCAACAAUGCUUGAGAAACACUUUUUUGCACAAACUUUUCUCAAAUCUGUCCUUUGUUGACAAAUUUGUUUUGAUUUUUUUUUGUGAAAAUUGUCAACAAAAAAUUAUUUUCUUUGGUUAAAAUCAAAAUCACGCGAAUUUAGGACCCAUUUCCGGACGAAACUCUAAGAAUGGAGGCGUCAAAAAGUUGCAGGAAUUCAACAGAAGUGAAGAAUAAGUGGAGGAGAUACAGAAGCUCAAAUAAGGGGAAAGAAAGCAUCUAGGUAUCAAGGCAACAGGAUGCAGUGACAGCUGGGAUGGCAAUCAAUGAAUGAAAUGUGUAAAAUAAUUAAAAAAUGAAUAAAUAAAUAUUUUUUACCAUUGAAAAAAUAAGCUUUAUAAAAUAUUACUUUCGUAAGCUUAUUCUGCAAUUACAAGAAUAAGCUUAUGAAUAAGGGUUCCUUUUCGAUUAUUCUAUAAUUGUUAAACAAACAUUUCUCAAUACAUUCUCAAGAUUUUCUCAAGCUUUAGGCUUAUGUUUGUAAGCUUAUUAAAAUAUUAUUCUCAAGUCAAUUUGGUAUGUUGGGUUGUUGACAAAUUACUUUUAAUUUUUUGUGAAAAUUGUCAGCAAGAAAUUGUUUUCUUUCAUAAAAGAAAACCAAAUCACGCGAAUUUAGGACCCAUUUCUGAACCGAACCCUUAAGAUUGGAAGCAUCAAAAAAGUUGCAGGAAUUCAAUACAUGUGUAGUCUUAGUGGAAGAGAUGCAGAAGUUCAAAUAAGGGAGAAG